GUCAACAUUCCAUGUGGGAUGCUCGUUGGAGCGUUGACUGACUGACCGAACGCACGCGAUUUCAUUAUGAAACGUAUGAAAUACAGUAACAGCAUGCACAUUGAAGCCUAGAAUUGCAGGAUUCAUUUAAACGACAGUCACUGUUUUCAUAACAAAGAUCUCCAACACAAUUCGACUUGCAUUCUUUCUCUAUUUCACCUGAGUGACCAAUCCACGAUACAACAAUAUUUUCCAGUAGCGAUGUUGAAUCUUGGGUGCAUUUACCAACAGCAAGGAUUGGGGUAUACCUAUCAUGAGCAGUUGAUUUGGUGACUAGUUAAGGGAGCCGGCCGUUACAAUGUUAAUUUAAACGACAGUUACUGUUUUCAAAACAAAAAUCUCCAACACAACUCGACUUGCAUUCUUUUUC